GCCCACAGGGGCUUUGGUCUACUUGGGACGAAUCACAAGUGGGUUUUCAUUCAGGUGAUUUCGGAUUCGCUAAUCAGCGCCACUCUUUCAAUGCUCACCUUCCUCCUCAUUAGCUUAUAACUGCCGUGGCUCCAGGCAACGCCGAACGUGGUGGGUGGGCACGUCGCCUCCGUUAAGCCCUCCGAUUGGUAGUUCCUGUCGGUCCCAAGACUGGCCUCAAGUUCGAUUGGAUAGCAAUCGAGCCAGCCCCACCUCACUGUCAAUCACAUCAUCCCCCUUCGUAACUCACUGGACCAUUGGUCAGUCUAGCCUGAGGGCGGGUUGUUGGGCGGAAGAGAGCGGCUUCUCCUGGCCUCCCUUGCUGUCACCAUGGAGAUUGCACACGUGGGCCAGUGAAGCCGCUGGGCCAGGCAUCUCCCAUUUCGAAGGCUGAAGAAAUGUACAGCAGUCCAGAUAUUAUUGCUUGUUUCGGGGUCUGAUGAACUUCUCACUCCCCGACCCCCUAGCCCGGGUGGGGCGUAGGAUUUGGGGGACAAGUCAGCUCAGACCCAGUCAUCAAAGAUUAGGAGGAGGAUAUCAAGCCAUCAAACAGCAAGAGAGAGAUUUUGUCCCCAUCAGCCCUGCCCAGCCGCUGGGUUUGCAAUCUGGGCAUCCUUUCUGGGGAGCUGAUAUCAACUGGCUGGCCGGAGGAGGAUUCUCAUAAGAAGCAGAUGGAGACUAUUUUGAAGAGCUGUGAGAGGCUCACCAGAGGGGGCUAUGAUGAACAUCUGGAUUCCCCUGGAACAGAGCGCCUGACAGGGUGGCACAUUCCGGUUAGACAAAGCAAGGCUCUUCUGAGGAUACACGAGCCCGUCCUGCGUGGUGUCAGCAGAAGCAGAAGAGACGGAAGAACUGGUGAGCCAGAGGGAUACAUGAGAAAUAAUGAAGAUUUCAGCAUCCAAACAUAGCCUAUACCAGAACAAAAACGAAGCCUGGAAAGGAGGCUUCAAUAAAAAUAGAAUGCAAGUCACAUAGUAAUUUUAAAUUUUCUAGUGGCUACAUUGAAAAAGUAAAAGAAGCAGGUGAAGAUAUUUUUAAUGACCUAUUUUUAUUUAACUCCAUGUAUCUAAAUUAUUACUACUUUAAUGCCUAAUACAUAUAAAUAAUUCUUAAUGAAAUAUUUCACAUUCUUUUUUUAAAUACCAAGUCUUCUACACCUAUUAUGUGUAUUACACACACAGCAAAUCUCAGUUUGGAUUAGCUGCAUUUUAAGUGCUCAGGACCUACUACACGUGGCCAGCGGCUACUGUACUGGACAGCACAGGUUUAUAUCUUCCUUUCUCAAAUUUUUGUGACCAAACUCUUGGGAUGGCAUUUCCUAGAAAUGGCUCUUUUUGGAAAUCAUCAUAGCAUUCUCUCUUCUCUUCCUAAAUAUAGCCUAAAUAUUCUCUCUCCCAAUCUCUCUCUUUCUCAGUUCUUUCAAGCUGGCUGUGAUACUUCCCACCCCUUCUAGAACCUAGAAAGAACUUUGAAAUUACUCGGAACUUUUCUUUUUCCUUUACUGCCUCCCCUGGAGCCUUCAUCUGGAGCUAAGGCAAGGCUGCUCCCACCCGAGAGCCUGUGUGUGUGUGUGUGUACGUGUGUGUGUGUGUGUGUGUGUGUGGAGCUGGGGGUGGAGGUGGAGAGGAGGGGGAAGUCAGGCAUGGGGAAGAGACAGCACUUGAAGAAACUUUCCCAAAGCGCAUCAGUACCAUAAGAAAGAUGGGUUUUUUGAAAGGCUUUGGGGAUCAUAUUGCUCUACGUUAGAGAAGCUGGUUAUAGACAUGACCCAAUUAAUUGCCUAUCAUGUACCCAGGGGAUAGGCUUCAGAGGGUGGGAGUGAGAUGGGGGAGCUGAGAGGCUUUCCAAGGCCAAAAACAAAAAAAAAAAGAACCAGAGAUGGGCAAAGGGCCUAAACAUCCUGGUUUUCCAGCUCAGAGCAGAAACCUGGAGCCCCACCUUUUCAAGGAUUUGCAGUAUCUGAGUUUUCACACGGUGCAGGUCUCCUUCCUCUGUCCCACUCCUUUCUCCAUGGGAUGAGCCCUUACCAUCAUUUCAUCAGGAAUGGAAUCUUCCUCACUUGGCCCUGGUGCCCCCAACCCCCACCACUCACCUGGGUCCAGGGUCAGGAAGGAGGCCUUAGGUAGAGAGAAGCAUCCCCCUGCCUCCUCCUUGCUGCUGCUAUCUGUGCUGAGCCCUCAGGGCCUGUCAUAGCAGGCUCAGUAAACAAUAUCUCCCUUCCUCAGGCCAAUUAAAUAAGCACUAUAAUAAAGGCAAAGGCAAAGUGCUGCAGCAGCCCUGGGUAAAGGGCUAUUAAAUCUAAUGGCUGCCAUUUAUUGAAGAGCCUCCCAUGUGCCAGGGACUGUGCUAAGCAUUUUACAUUCAUGAUUUCAUUUAAUCCCCAUGGUCUCAUGAGUUGGGUUCUAUAAUCAUCCUCAUUUCACAAACGCAGAGACUGAGACUUAGCGCUCUCAGUAGCUUCCCAGGUAGCUGGCUAUUUUGUGACAGGGUGGGGCUCUGAGCCAGGCCUGGGUGACUCCAAAGCUAGUGCUCUCUGCUGGGGGAUCCAAGGGUGCUUUAAAAAGAGGUGAUGUUUCAGUUAAGUCUUAAAAGCAGAUCGAAUUUCAGAAGGUGGGAAAUGAGGAAUGAAACACAAGGCUGAAUGAAUGGUUCGGGCAAGUGCAGAAAGGGUUGAGAGUGCAAAGUGUGUUCUGGGACCCAUGAGUAGUGGCAAGACUGGAACAGAAAUUCCCAAACAUCUCAAUUGCAGUGGGUUUAAAAUGCAGAUCUCUAGGCCCUUCUCCAGAUCGACUUUCUCUAGCGGUGGAACCUGGAACCCUGAAUUGUAAAGAAGUUCCCCAGAGUGUUCUGAUGUAGGAAGUCCAUGGGCCAGCUCUGGAAUCACUGAAAGGUGGAUUUGGGGUGCAGGCAGGAAUGCAGGAGAUUAGCCUGAGAGGGAGAUCAAGCCAGACAAGGAGGACAAAACUUAUAGGCCAUGCUAAGAAACGUGGCAUUCAAGGCCCUCCUUUUUAUUAUGGGCCUAAUAUCCUUUUAGGCUAAAUCUGAUAAGCAAUAGAAAGCUAGUUUUCAGAGGAAAGCAAGGGGUGAUCCAACCUUUGUUUUAGGAAGAACACUCUGGUGGAGGUGUAUAGGAGGGAUUGCAGCUGUUGGAAGUAUUGAGCCCAGUUAGGAAAUCAUCAAAAUAUUCCAAGGUGACUGGUGACAGAUCUCCCAACUAGGACUAAGACAGUGAUGAAGAAAUAAGUUUCCUUCAGUUCAAUCCAAUAAGCAUUUCUUUAAUAUGCUUUCUGGAUUCUGCACUGUAUCAGGUUUUAGGGAUCCUAAGAUGAAACAAAAUACUGUCUUAAAAAACUCACAAUCUAUCAAGAUUCAUUAAAAAUAAUUAAGUUUAGAAUGAAGGGAACUGGUAGUUGGGCAGUAUUAUGGACUGAACUGUACCUGUUCCCUAAAUUCAUAUGCUAAAGUUCUAACCCCCACUGUGAAUGUA